CUGGCGGCAGGCCUAACACAUGCAAGUCGAACGGUAACAGGAAGCAGCUUGCUGCUUCGCUGACGAGUGGCGGACGGGUGAGUAAUGUCUGGGAAACUGCCUGAUGGAGGGGGAUAACUACUGGAAACGGUGGCUAAUACCGCAUAACGUCGCAAGACCAAAGAGGGGGACCUUCGGGCCUCUUGCCAUCAGAUGUGCCCAGAUGGGAUUAGCUAGUUGGUGAGGUAACGGCUCACCAAGGCGACGAUCCCUAGCUGGUCUGAGAGGAUGACCAGCCACACUGGAACUGAGACACGGUCCAGACUCCUACGGGAGGCAGCAGUGGGGAAUAUUGCACAAUGGGCGCAAGCCUGAUGCAGCCAUGCCGCGUGUAUGAAGAAGGCCUUCGGGUUGUAAAGUACUUUCAGCGGGGAGG
rnacentral:rRNA from 1 species